rnacentral:rRNA from 1 species
AUGUACAUGCUUACAGUGUUAAUGCAUUGGAUCCCAUCAGAACUUCGUAGUUAAGUGCACUUGGGCUAGAAUAAUACUAAUAUGGGUGACCUCUAAGGAAGUCCUAGUGUUUUACAUG